AUUGAACGCUGGGGCAUGCCUUACACAUGCAAGUCGAACGGUAACAGGUCUUCGGAUGCUGACGAGUGGCGAACGGGUGAGAAUACAUCGGAACGUGCCUAGUAGUGGGGAUAACUACUCGAAAGAGUGGCUAAUACCGCAUGAGAUCUACGGAUGAAAGCAGGGGAUCGCAAGACCUUGUGCUACUAGAGCGGCCGAUGGCAGAUUAGGUAGUUGGUGGGAUAAAAGCUUACCAAGCCGACGAUCUGUAGCUGGUCUGAGAGGACGAUCAGCCACACUGGGACUGAGACACGGACCAGACUCCUACGGGAGGCAGCAGUGGGGAAUUUUGGAAGAUGGGCGCAAGCCUGAUCCAGCAAUGCCGCGUGCAGGAUGAAGGCCUUCGGGUUGUAAACUGCUUUUGUACGGAACGAAAAGCCCCGGGUUAAUACCCUGGGGUCAUGACGGUACCGUAAGAAUAAGCACCGGCUAACUACGUGCCAGCCGCCGCGGUAA
rnacentral:rRNA from 1 species